rnacentral:rRNA from 1 species
UACGUAGGGCGCAAGCGUUGCCCGGAAUCAUUGGGCGUAAAGAGCUCGUAGGUGGUCUGUUACGUCUGCUGGUGAAAUCCUAGGGCUUAACCCUGGGCCUGCAGUGGAUACGGGCAGACUAGAGGUAGGUAGGGGAGAAUGGAAUUCCCGGUGUAGCGGUGAAAUGCGCAGAUAUCGGAAGGAACAUCAGUGGCGAAAGCGACUUCCUGGACCAAUACUGACGCUCAUGUGCGAAAGCGUGGGGAGCAAACAGG